UAAUGGCGAACGAACAGGGAUGAGCUCGGCUUGGAAACUGGGGCCUUGGCCUUGGAUUGUAGCCUCUAGACAUAGUGCCAACGGAGGCGCAGGUGCAAGCCUCUUGGAAAAGAGCAUCAAUGUGGGUGAGAAUCCUGUGUUUCACUUGCAGUCCACCGUGCACGGCACAUGUUCUCAGAGUCGCGUUCCUCGGAAUUGGAGCGUAAAGUGGGUGGUAAAUUUCAUCUAAAGCUAAAUAUAGGCUUGAGACCGAUAGCAAACAAGUACCAUGAGGGAAAGAUGAAAAGGACUUUGAAAAGAGAGUUAAAAGUGCAUGAAAUCGCUGAAAGGGAAGCGAAUGGAACCAGUCUUCUGGCUGAGAUUGCUGCAUGCUACUGUGAUGCCUGGCUGCUUCAACGCAAGUGUUGUAGUUAGAGUUGAUCAGCUGCGUGUGGUGUUUCUCAGCUUGUUAGUCAACCUCUGUUUGCGCUUGGGGAUAGCCUCAGGUACACGUCGCUUCUCUGCGGAGUUGCUCCUGUGCUUGUAGGGACUCAGGUGCGUACUUUUGGUGACAAAAUGGUUCUCUUCGACCCGUCUUGAAACACGGACCAAGGAGUCUAGCACAUGUGCAAGUUCACAGGUGGCAAGCCUGCUUGCGCAAUGAAGGUGACUGCUGGGAUAUUUGCACCAGCAACCGACCAAUCAAUUGAGAGAAGUUUGAGUAUGAGCAUAUGUGUUAGGACCCGAAAGA
rnacentral:rRNA from 1 species